ensembl:lncRNA
ACUGAUUCCAUGUCUUCGGUAUUAAGGGUUAUUAGGGCAUGCAUUGGAAAAGGAAAUGGCAACCCACUCCAGUGUUCUUGCCUGGAGAAUCCCAGGGACGGGGGAGCCUGGUGGGCUGCUGUCUAUGGGGUCACACAGAGUCGGACACGACUGAAGCGACCUGCAGCAGCAGCAGCAGCAGCAGGGCAUUGUUUUAAAUUUUCAAGAAAAAAAUGGGAACUCUUCUGAGGAUGCCUGGGAUCUGUGUUGGAGUUGGAUGCACGCCGCCUUCCACACAGCGCCACCAGCUGGGAGGACCAGACAGGAAACUGCAGCGGAGCCAGAACAAGGGUCCCUUUUGCAUGCAAGGAGGGAGUUGACCCACCCAGCAGAGCACAGCGUCAUCACCCGGUCAGCAGCCAGAGAGGACCGCGAUCGGAAGGCCGUCUGAGUACUUGUUGCCGCCGCCCCCACCCAUCCACCCAGGUGCCCACCCUCACCCAACCACGCGCCCACUCUCACCCACUGCCUGGUCAGAGGCCGGCAGCCGGCGCGCAGUCCACCCUGAGCGUCCGCGGUGCUGCGCACGAACAGAGGGGCCGCCGUCACGGCCAACUCGGACGCUGUAGCCGGAAGCUGGCACCUCUGGUCGAAAUACCCCCGGCACCCCAAACUCGGGGAAGAGGGUCGGGGAACGCACGGAAAUAAAGAAACCGGCCCAAGCGGUAGGGCCCCAGAAAGUCUCCAAGAAUGAGCUCAAAACGCAGAGCUUGCUGACCACAGGCAGCACAGAACUGCGUACUUACUCCGUUUUAUUAUUCUAACUCUGCCCGUAAUAACUUGGAUGGUUUUUGCUUUUCGCUUUAUCUUCCCUGCAAAAUAAAGGCCUUUCUCACAGUACUCUUAGGAUCCAUUAAAUCAUUAAUGGGGUAAAGAUGCUUGACAUCAUCAGAACUGUAUGUUAUACUCUUUCUCAAAAGCAGCUUUCUCAAAUUCAAGUUAUCUCCAAGGGAAGGAAAGGCAAGCAUGAACUUACUAGCCAAC